UACAGAGGGUGCGAGCGUUGUCCGGAAUCACUGGGCGUAAAGGGCGCGUAGGUGGCUCGUUAAGCGUGUGGUGAAAGCCUGGGGCUCAACCCCAGGUCUGCCGUGCGAACUGGCGAGCUUGAGCAGAGUAGAGGCGAGUGGAAUUUCGGGUGUAGCGGUGGAAUGCGUAGAUAUCCGAAAGAACACCGGUGGCGAAGGCGGCUCGCUGGGCUCUUGCUGACACUGAUGCGCGACAGCGUGGGGAGCAAACAGG
rnacentral:rRNA from 1 species